UCUCUCUUGCUGACUUCGCUCUCUUUCUCUCUCGCGCUUUCUGACUUUGCUUGCAACAUGUCUGGGGAGCAACAUGAUCACUUGGCUACUCCACCUCCACCACCACCACCCUUAGUAUCGCCGCAAUCCUCAUCGCCGAUUUGUUUCCGAUUGCCGCGCAGAGUCGCCUCAAAAUCCAAAAUCGGUUCUGUCGAUGACAUCGCGGUUAAUCUCAAUAGGGUUCUUGCCCUGUCUUGGCUAGACUCGGAGUUUGUGCUUGAGGCUCUGAGGAGGGAACGCCAAGAAUUUGCGGAGGAGUUGCAGCGCCGCAAAAUUCGCACUUUAAUGUCUAUGCGAUUUUAUGCAAAAGAAUCUUAGCAUUGUUUUGCUGCUGCUGUUCCUUUGUCUAUCGAUCAGUGUUAUCUUGCUUUUUUAUUGUUAUUCAGAUUUUAGGAACAGUUUGCAGGCGGAUUCUUCAGUUGUCUUGCAUUCGGGUCUGCUGUAGGAAAACUGAGGCAAUGAUUACGGAUUUUGCAGACAUUGAAUCGACACCACUGUUGACUGCAGGUUGACAUUCACAUUCCAGUCCAGUUGCAAAUCAGAGUUUCUUUAUUGAUAGAACCGUGUCAAUUGAAAGGUUUAAAACGGAACAGCAGCUAAACUGUCAAAGCUCUACAGUUUAAAAUCAAGGACAUAGAGAGAGAGAUAGCUGAUAUUCAGAAAAGGAGAUUCUGACCUCAUCAUCUCAGUACAAGGUAUUUUGAUCCAUUUCAAUUUGAUCACUUAUCAAGAACGAUCCACACAGAAAUAGAGAGAUUGGCUGUGAUUGUUUGCUUUGCUUUGCACAAAGACAUAGAGAGAGAGAUAGCUGAUAUUCACAAAAGGAGAUUGUCACCUCAUCAUCUGAGUACGAGGAGGUUAUUGUUUGGAACAGCACACCAGAGGAUCACAGGAUGAUUGUUACUGAUAUUCGAAUUAGAACAAAUCUCCUGAACAGAAAAUGAACCAAGUAUGAUGGUAGAGUUCGUGUAAGUUCAGAUUCAAUGAGUAAAAUAGAGGCUGAACUUGAAGCUGAAUUUCAAAGGUUGGGGCUAAACAGGAAUACUUCUACUUUGGAGAGAAGAUGAACUGAUCUUGAUGAGUAUGACGAAUUGGAAGAGCUGGAGUGAUCUGAUUGCCAAUAUAUGAAAUUAACAAUGAGUCCAAGCUGCUAUCAUCACAGUUGAAGGGGGUUAUCCCCUGGUGGAGAUCUUCCCUUCCUGUCCAAGACCAUGAGUUGUUAAGAAUGAAGAUCUAUUAGAGUUUUGGUGAAAAUUGAGAGCUUCAAAGCCAUUCACAAGCAGGAAAAAAUCAUUGAAGCUUCCUAUGGAGUCAUGAUUGCUCAGGUUGAUCUUGGAAAAAAUCAUUGAAGCUUCCUAUGGAGUCAUGAUUGCUCAGGUUGAUCAUGUAGCUUCUCAACUACUUGAAUCAAUGAUUGAAUACCCAACCCCAACACGUUGAGGAAAGGAUAUUUUUUCCUUGCCUUGGUGGUGAAUUGGACAGUGAGUGUAAUGAACCAGUUUCAAUGAAACCGUGUGCUUCCCCAUCAUAGACUACACACAAUCAAGAGGAGCUACUAGAUUGCAAAACACUAUCAGAGGUUUUAAAGAGCUUGGAAAAGAAGGUGCCUAACUUGAAAAUUUUCACCUAUGAACAAUUGGAUCAGUGAGCUGCCAUCUUCACUGAAUGUGAAGUGAGAAUGUGACACAGAAUGCAUUUAGAAGUGGGGCAGAAUAUUUAACCUGUGAAUGUUCUUUUCUGAUUUUGGGUUGGUUUCUUAUUUGAAUCCUCUUCGUUUGAUUUUUGUUAGUUGUUAGUUCAGUUAGGAAAAAAGCAAUUUACAAUUGUUAUACGAGUAGAAUGCAUUUAUACUACCUGCGGCAAAGCGUGGUAUCGUGAGUUAUGUUUAUCUCAGAUAUACUGCAUGUAUGUCAACAAUGGAAACUUGGAGUGGCAACUUCAUGGAGGUAUUCGUCACCAUAGAUAUCUCACUUUGCCUUUGAUGCCAACGUGUUGUUCUUAUUCAACAAGUCACAAGAUAUACUUUUUGCAGUCUGGCUUAUUUACACAACGCCAUUGAACCAAAGUUGAUGCAUCGAGACAUUAAGUGGAGGCUUCUUCUUGGCCACUAAGUACUUUGUAAAAGAAUAUCCGUUUGGGGAUGAGAAAGAGCAGUUAAUGACUUUGGUUUGCCAAAUCAAGUCUGACUGAUAAGAAAAUUGAAUUCAAGAGGGAGUUCCGUCCAGGUGAGGUACUGCUAAUGCCGCUGGAUGCAACUGUUGCACAGCUAAAACAGAAAGCUGAUUGUCUAGAGGGAUACAUAUUCUAUCACAGAACAAUGUGGUAAUGGAAAUCAAAGGCUUGGAGGAAUCAAAUGAUAUGGAAGUACUUUCUAGAGCAAUUCAAUCA